rnacentral:rRNA from 1 species
UACAGAGGUCCCAAGCGUUGUUCGGAUUCAUUGGGCGUAAAGGGUGCGUAGGCGGCGCGGUAAGUCGGGUGUGAAAUCUCGGGGCUUAACUCCGAAACUGCAUUCGAUACUGCCGUGCUUGAGGACUGGAGAGGAGACUGGAAUUUACGGUGUAGCAGUGAAAUGCGUAGAUAUCGUAAGGAAGACCAGUGGCGAAGGCGGGUCUCUGGACAGUUCCUGACACUGAGACACGAAGGCCAGGGAGCAAACGGG